rnacentral:lncRNA from 1 species
GUUCUGGGCUUCUGGCUGCAUUCUAGGAAGAUCAUUCCUUAAAAGAAAUAGCCAUAUGGCUUAUAAGGCUGCAGUGCAAUGGUGCGAUCUCGGCUCACUGCGACCUCUGCCUCCCGGGUUCAAGUGAUUCUUCUGCCUCAGCCUCCCAAGUAGCUGGGAUUACAGUGUUCUUUCCUGUAUGAAGCCCAAGCUGUCCACUUGGAGAGACAUCUGGCCAGCCCCCCGUUGUUCCAGCCAUCCCCAGUUCAGGCAUCAGACAUGUGGUGAAGAAGCCAUCCUAGAUGCCCAGCCCCAGCUACCAUCUGAUGCAACCACACUGCUCACCCCGAGCAAGAACUGCCUGCAGGAGCCUAGUAUUAUCCUCUCUCACAGAACCAUGGCAGGGAAUAAU